rnacentral:rRNA from 1 species
UACGGGGGGGGCAAGCGUUGUUCGGAAUUACUGGGCGUAAAGGGCUCGUAGGCGGCCAACUAAGUCAGACGUGAAAUCCCUCGGCUUAACCGGGGAACUGCGUCUGAUACUGGAUGGCUUGAGUUUGGGAGAGGGACGCGGAAUUCCAGGUGUAGCGGUGAAAUGCGUAGAUAUCUGGAGGAACACCGGUGGCGAAGGCGGCGUCCUGGACCAACACUGACACUGAUGAGCGAAAGCCAGGGGAGCAAACGGGG